rnacentral:misc_RNA from 1 species
GGAGAAGAUUGAUGGGGAGGAUCCAAAUAUAACUUAUAUCUAGGAGUGGAAACGGGGACAGAAUCAGGCAACAGACCAUGAACUCUAUAACAAACACUUCAAAGAGUGCUAAUCUAUAUAACUAGGUGACAACUGUGAAAAUUGGCAAAUUAAUUCUAAUGGAAAGUUUAAAGAAUUUGAAUUGAUAUUCACUUAAUUACAUAAUAUAUUGAUGUCUGAUGUGAGAACCAAUAUUUGUAUCCCAUUUUAUGAAAAAAUUUUGUUUAUUUGCCUUGAAGUAAAAUGUUCUCAUGUGAAGCUUACAGCUUGUGUAAGAGUGAGUGGGGCUGUCAAAUGAAAGCUGAAUUUGUGAAGGUUUCAGUCACUUUAUGAAUGUAGUCUCAUGUUCAUUUUUAUUGUAGUGUCUGGAAAUAUAAUAUAAAUCUGUCACAUAAAAUUUCUUUUUUUUUUCCC